GAUUAUUAGUAAAUGGCGCCAAAAUAACGAUUUUAUUCAGUCUAAAAUUCAGACCAUUUCAGCACAUUUCAGACAAUCUAUAAUAGAUGGAAUGACGAGAAAAUUUUCGGAAAGUCAAGCCAAAUUUAAUUGUCUGGACGAUCAAACGCGACACACAGAAUUUUUAUUGUGAAAAUUCACGUCAGUGUCAAGGAUGGCUUCUUCUAAGAACCUAAGGAGAUCUGCGCGAGUAAAAACUCUUGUGAAAUACACAGAAGAUAGUGACGAGGGCACACCACAAGGCACUCCCCAAUCUAAUAUAUUAAAGGUCGAGUUAGAAAAGCAGCUUGAAGAUGUCGAAGAGGACGUACAAAAACCACUUGAAUUAUUUUCUAAUAAGGAUGUGAGUGGAAGAAAACUGUAUGGAUUUCAAACGCCAACAAAAAGGAAUAACAUGAUGAUUAAAGCCAAUCAGUGUCGUACACCUGAGACUCCCAAAAGUUUCAAGACACUUCCAGUCUUAAAAAUUGUUCUUGACAAGAUUAUGAUGAGAGAUUUUCAGGAAAAUCAAGUUUUGAACAAUGAUGACAUUGAAACUAGAGUGUCUCGAAAACGAUAUUUGCCCAGUGUAAAUUCGAGUGGUGACGAGAGCGUGUCAGAAGAUAGCGAAUAUGUACCUACAGAUAAUGAAGUCAGUUCAGAGUCUGAUGGAACUUCUGAUAAAAGUGAAAAUAGUGAAAAUUCUGACAUGAGUGAGGAAAACAAUGUUAGAAGGGGAAUUAAACAGAGAGUAUUAAAACCUUUACCAAAACGUGACGUGCAAAGUACACCUAAAAGACCAGGAAGAGGACGUAAGACUGUGGCAUACAAAGAUUAUCACAUAAAAACUGAUGAAUAUUUUGAAUCUCAAUCGGAAAAAAUAAUUACGUCUGAUCAUACAUUAGGAAGACUUCGGAACGCUCGUCUUACCAAAGAUACUUUAGGCGAAUUAUUAACAAAUCAAAGUCACAUUUCUACAAUACAUAAAAAGCGUAUUUGCUCCUUGACAGAAAAUUGUAAAUCGUUUUUUCCUAUGUGGCAAUUCAUAUUGGAAGAAGGUUACAGUUUACUACUUUACGGAAUAGGUUCGAAAAGAAAUUUAAUAAAUGAUUUUCAUAAUGAAAUCAUAACCAAUCAUCCAACAUUGAUUAUAAAUGGAUUUUUUCCCAGCUUAACGCUAAAAGAUAUUCUUGAUAAUAUAACAAGUUUGUUAGAUGUAGAUAGUCCAUCAAAUCCUAAUGAUUGUUUAGAACUUAUCGAGACAAUUAUGAGGAAUAAUCCAGAUGAUAGACUUUAUUUAAUAGUUCAUAAUAUUGAUGGAAUAAUGCUACGUUCGAAUAAAGCUCAAAAUAUGCUUGCUAGCUUAGCAACUGUUCCAAAUAUUCAUGUCAUAGCGUCUGCCGAUCAUAUAAAUGCAUCACUCCUUUGGGAUCAUAUAAAACGGGCAAAGUUCAAUUUUUACUGGUGGGAUGCGACAACAUUAUUGCCAUAUAAAGCGGAAACUUCAUACGAAAGCUCAUUAUUAGUUCAACAAAGCAGUGGACUCGUCUUGUCUUCCCUCCAGAAUGUUUUCCUGUCCCUCACGUCAAAUGCUCGAACAAUUUAUCUCAUUCUUGUAAAAUAUCAAUUGAGCAAUAGCAAUAGUAAUUUUGCAGGGAUGCCAUUCAAGGAUCUAUAUCGGUCAGCGCGUGAACAGUUCCUGGUCAGUUCCGAUUUAGCAUUAAGAGCACAACUAACUGAAUUUAUUGAUCACAAAUUACUACGGACUAAACGCACAGUUGAUGGCGCUGAACAUUUAAUAAUACCCCUUGAUAAGACUCUUCUAAAACAAUUUCUGGAGCAACAUGGGUCAUGAUUUAUUUGAUGACUUUGAGUUACAUAUUUUUAAGUCAGGGUUAGUAAAAGAGAGAAGGAUUCGGUCAGAAGGAGAUGGAGAUUAACAUUAAACCUAUCUGAUGAAUCAAAUUCUCUUAGCAACAUAUUUGUAUUGUUGCUGGCAAUCACAUCAUGUGUUAUUGGAAUGGCAGCGACUGGAUCGUGUUUAACGGCGAGGUCUGCCUGGCUGUCAAUUCUCAGUGUUAAUUAAACUUGAUUCAUCUAGUCUCUUAAGAGUGGUCUUCAUGUGCAUCUCUCGAGUGAUAUCGCCAAGGUGAAACGAACUAUGCCAACCAUUCCUACACAGCCGUGAUGCUAAUCACAACGGAAGAAAAGCGAAAUUUGUCACGAAAAUCGUGCAAAAGUUUUGGUGAGUUAUCGAAAAAGCAACAACGAUUACGUCAUUACGCGAAGUUUUAUGCGAUUGUAGGAGCUAGUAGUAGUCAAUUGUGUAAAAAUGACUUGAUGGACGUUAGUGAAUCGGACAAUGGUGAUGAAGAUCAAACGCAAAACGUGCAGUAUUUAAAAGUGAAUAUCGAACACAAUAGUGACGAUGAAAAUUACAUAAAUAAUGACAAUGGAAAUUACAUUUCUAGGGAUGAUAAUAAUGACACUUCUUAUGAUAGUUGUAGUUGAACAAGCGUUGUGCGUUACGAAAAAACAGCAAUGAAGUGAGGAGUGGGAACGACAAUAGGCAUGAAUACCGACACAUUUCAAUUUCAAGCCCAAAAUUACAAAUCCUGGACAGCACUGAUUUAUUUUGUCAUUUUUCAUCGAAAAUAUUUAAUAAGAUGACCUAUCGUAGAUCAGCAUAGUUAUAGCAUGAUACUAUAGGAUGAGACAGCAGUUUUAUAGUAUUGAUCUACAGUAGUUUUAUAAUAUUAAUCUACAGUAAUUUUAUAUUUAUCCUAAUUAAAUUUACUACAAGCGAACUACUAUUGUUCGAUAAAAUUAACCUAUUGAGAGAAUAUACAAAUAUGAUCCCCGAGCGAACUAAAAGUAAACUACAGAAGCCUGAUAGAAGUGAGCUACGAGUUCUCGAUGAAAGUAAACAAUAGUAGGGAUAUUAAUAUAUUAUUUCUUAUUUUAUCUAUUAUUAUCUUACUUUUGUGAGCUACUUGGGAUCUGUGAGGUACGUAGGAAGAUCGAUUCUAGUUCACCGAUUGUUGGUUGAUUAUGUACUACUUUUAAUGUGCUUGUAUGUUAUCUGGGGGAAAUAUUACGAGUUAUGGUAGCAAUAACUAUUAAAAUUAACGGAAUUAAAGUUGAGCUCUUAAAAUUGAGCUCUCAUCGGAGAUGCGUCAGACAGAUCCAAUUUGAUCCGCAAUGUUGUUGCUUACGUCAAGCUUCGAUUUAAGUGAGACGUCUCUUGUCGGUUGCUUAUCGUCGAUGCCUCUUCCGCGUAUCGUAAUUCCGCGUACGAAUCCGCAUUAUUCUUUCAUCGAGACAUUCAUUCCUACGUGAUGAGUCGCGGGUGUUUUAUGGGCGCUGCUACGCGAGAGCGGGACGAGGCGCGACGGCGAGGACAAAGAGGAGGAGGAAGAAGGAAAAGAAGAAGCAGCAAUAUGUACCGUUGCACGUGGCAACGAUAUAUUUCGCAGCUAUUGUGAAUACACACUAGCGUACGUGACAUCAUUCGUCCUCGCAAUUACAUAAAGAUAUCGGCGUCGUUAGUCCGCUAACAUCAGUGAUCCUUACGUGAUUCCACGCCGCGCAUAUGCAUUUAACACAAGGCACGCAUUUAAUGCUCCCGCAUAAUCGCGUCAUGCCGACAUUUGAGGACUGAUGGCUGCACGAGUGGUCGUGGCUGAUGAUCAAAUUAAAAAGAAACACGAUAUAAGCAAGCAUUGUGUCUCGGAAGCGCCGAGAACGCCGGAAUGUCGCCGAGACCACGGUAAUUUUUUCGAUUAAGCUCUGGAUUCGUUAUAUUUCGCAAUGUAAUUUUAUUUGUAUAACUUUAUUACAACUGUAAUUUGCUUCUAAAUCUAUUGCCACGCUAUUGCACCAAUCUUUCUUAAAAUUUUAAUAUGCUUAUCAGUUUUCAAUUGAACGCACGGUAGCACAUAAUAAAUGGAUUGUCGAAUCGGAGUAAUAGAAAAUCUUAAAUUAUCUUGAAAAUAAAAAGGAUUUAUUAUUGUAAAUCAUCCAAUAGAUGAUUUAUAGGCGGCAUUAAAUUGGGGACUGUAAAUCCUUUUUGUAGAAGCGAGUGGAGAUCAAUUGAUCAAUAAUGAAAUAUAAAAAAA